GGUUUAGACUUUUUGGACACAAAUGAAUUUCACAAGGGGAUAAAUCGGAUUAGCACACUAUUUAAUAGUUAUUUCUUGGAACAAGCAAAAUUGGCGGCUGUUUCAAGUUCUUGUCGGUUGCGAAAACAAAUCAAAAAUUCUUAAUACUAUAAAAUAUUUUUAACAAGUUCCAGAAUUAAUUGAAAAAAGUUGAACAUAUAUUCGAACUGAAGUCAUGAAACACGUAUCAAGUAUCACGAAUCACGAAUCAUGAAUCACGAAACACGAAUUUUUUGGAGGAAGAUACAUACCAGCCUUAAAACCAAAUCCAAUUGAAAAAACACAAGCCGCUAAAAAAACGAUCCGACCACCGACUCGUCUCUUGCAAAACCCAUACUCAAAUUUGCGUGAUGUAACUAUAUUAAUUUGGUUUAGACUUUUUGGACACAAAUGAAUUUCACAAGGGGAUAAAUCGGAUUAGCA